rnacentral:rRNA from 1 species
GAAUGAACGCUGGCGGCGCGCCUAAUACAUGCAAGUCGAGCGAGAAGACGUAGCAAUACGUUUGUAAAGCGGCGAACGGGUGAGGAAUACAUGGGUAACCUACCCUCGAGUGGGGAAUAACUAGCCGAAAGGUUAGCUAAUACCGCGUACGCUUCUUGGACUUCGGUUCAGGGAGGAAAGCGAUACCGUGGGUAUCGCGCUCUUGGAUGGGCUCAUGUCCUAUCAGCUGUUGGUGAGGUAACGGCUCACCAAGGCUUUGACGGGUAGCUGGUCUGAGAGGACGAUCAGCCACACUGGCACUGCGACACGGGCCAGACUCCUACGGGAGGCAGCAGUAAGGAAUAUUGCGCAAAUGGGCGAAAAGCCUGACGCAGCGACGCCGCGUGGGGGAGU